ensembl:lncRNA
CUUCAGCCCCAUUUUUUUCAUGCUAUGAAAAUUGUUUCAUUCCUUUCUACACAGCACUCUUUGCUGCCUCGCCUUCAUCUGCCACAGAAACAUGUCAAGAUAAAUCUUAACACAAUCUCUUUUCUUUUCUUUGUGACUUUCUAUCCUUGACAUUAGGGUCAAGAUGUUUUUCUUUUAAAACAACUGGCAAUUCUCUGCCCUUUUGUUCUGUUUGGAUCUGAGCACCCUGUCAUUUCUCUGCGGUCCCCAGUUUUAUUUUUGCUCUGGCAUCACUGGAAAUGAUGGCGUCUCACUUAGUGAUGUUUGCUAUGAAGAUCUCAUGAGCCACUUUAUCCUUCUCCCAGCCAACUGCGGAAGAAACUCAAAUUCCUCUGACAUUGCUGCAUCUGGGCGGAUCCUUGCAGCGGUUGAGCAUAUGGUGGAACAAACCCUAGACUCUGAACCAUGGGACUUAAACUCCGGUCCUUCCUCGGCCAUUGGGAAGGUAGAACUUGGGCAAGCACCAAGUGGAAAUACCAGUCAUUUGAUACUGUACCACCUGGGACCGAAGGCCAGAGCCCUCUGUUUAGAAGCUGGUAGCUUGCAGCUGUGUAGCUUGAUGGCAGGUGAAAUGUUGGCAUCUUGAAUGCUGAACCAGUGAGUAAGGUGCUGGGGUUCUAUUUUGCACACUGGUGAACCAGAAGUGACCCAAAUCAUCUGAAGGUCCUUAAUUCCAUGAAUAAAACUAUAUUCAGAAGGUGAUUAUCGUGUAAAGGAGAGGUGCAUUAUCUUUGGGGAACAAGUGACCAUGGAAACAGUGAGUGCAGGAAAUAGUAGAGCUUUGCAUUUGGGUCCUUCAGGAGGCUUUGCAGUGGAAUCACCCUGCAGCUCGGAAAAGUGGGAGCAACGUGCUGUGAUGCCACCUCUUGGCUAAUGAAUGUGGACUGUGAGGUGACAGAGGGAACCCUGAUCAUCUGACACUGACUCUUGGUACAGAACCACUGUGGAAGUCAUCCAGGAGAAAAGCAAACAACUAGUGUGCUGUAUGGUGAAGAUUUUCUGUGUUUAGUGACCGAACUCUUAUUGCCUUUGGAGAAUGAAAUCCACACUUUUUGCUUUUUGGAGUGGUUGACUUGAAUGAUAAUCAACAUGGGGGAGAGAUGGGAUUACUUUCUAAAUGGAGUAAGGGGUAAGCAAGGGUAAGCAUCUUGGACAAAAUGGCGGCAAGUAUGAAAUGACAAAAGCGCUUGUCUCCAGCAUCUGGCUAAGCAGUCUUUUGCCAAGACCCUCACCUUUGGCCUGGAUAGAGGCUCUCUAGCUGGGUCAGAGCAAAGAGCAGCAUCCUGACCAUUCAUUCCAUGGUCUCCUGGCUGACCAAGGGGGGCCAAUUAGGUCCUAUUGUGAUAGAAGUGGGAGGGAAAGUUUCCUCCAUUCCGAUGACCCUUGGAGUGACUCCAUCAGUCUUAAAGGCCAUAGGGGUGGAGGAUGGGGCGCUAUUCUCUACCUCAUUGGGCCAUAGCCAGCCCUGUGUGAGUAAUUGGUUCUGUUCCUUAGCCUGAGGUCCUUCAGAUCUAUGGGAUUGACACUGCCUUCGUGCCUCCCCCAAACAGAAAUUUGCUCAGUUUGUCAUUUCAGAAGAUGGCUGUUUGGGGAUGGGAGGAAGAAAAAUAAAAUAUAAACACUAGUUAUUGGUCCUAUGUCCGUUUUGUUUUAGAAGUAGCAUUUAUAUUGGUAAAGGGUGGCAAAUGUCAGCCCCGUCACCCACCACCCACUUCCCAGUGCCUGCCUUUUUCUCACUGUGGGGUACAAUGA